rnacentral:ncRNA from 2 species
GACCACGGUCGUGACUGGCGAGGGUGGAGGACCACCGGGGAGCGACCGAGCACCGCCCUGCCGAGUGCACCGCCCGCCUGGGUGCCGGGG